rnacentral:rRNA from 1 species
CUUGCUCCUGAGUCACGGCGGACGGGUGAGUACACGUGGGCACCUGCCUGUAAGACUGGGAUAACUCCGGGAAACCGGGGCUAAUACCGGAUAACUCUUUNCCUCACAUGAGGGAAAGCUGAAAGAUGGUUUCGGCUAUCACUUACAGAUGGGCCCGCGGCGCAUUAGCUAGUUGGUGAGGUAACGGCUCACCAAGGCCACGAUGCGUAGCCGACCUGAGAGGGUGAUCGGCCACACUGGGACUGAGACACGGCCCAGACUCCUACGGGAGGCAGCAGUAGGGAAUCUUCCGCAAUGGACGAAAGUCUGACGGAGCAACGCCGCGUGAGUGAUGAAGGUUUUCGGAUCGUAAAACUCUGUUGUCAGGGAAGAACAAGUACCGGAGUAACUGCCGGUACCUUGACGGUACCUGACCAGAAAGCCACGGCUAACUACGUGCCAGCAGCCGCGGUAAUACGUAAGUGGNAAACCGUUUUC